UUGAUGAGUGAGGACAGUGGGAGAUUCCUCAGCUGCUCCUUUCUGCUUGGACAAGAGAUGUACUCAUCCCAAAGCAUUUUCAUCAAUGACAGCCCUGGAAAGUGAACCAUCCGUGUCUGGGAGUACUCAUGCAUGUUGCUGCAAAGAUCCUGAAUAAAAUAUUGGUAAAUAGAAAUGGCAGGGCACUCUUUAAAAAGACCAAAUGGACUUCACCUCAGAAGAAAAUAAUAGUUUAAUAUUAAGAAAUCUAUUCAUGCAAUUUGCCAUGUUAAUAAAUUAAUCAUUUGUUAACCUGAACAA